rnacentral:lncRNA from 1 species
AUGGAAUCAGAUCAAGAAGUAGCCAGAGUGGAUUUCUCCCAUGUUCUGUUCUCAGGGAAGACAGAUUGUGCAUAUCUACGGGCUCAGGCACAGUGUCCCGAACAAUCGUGUCUACCGUGUUCAUUCCCUGAACACGCCUAUUUCCAUAUUCUCAGAAGCCACGAGUCUGUCUCAUGGUGUCAUGGAGGCAGCUCUUGUUUGAAAAUGAAGGAGGUCUGUGGCCGAGUGUUUUUACGGCAGGACCGAAGGCUACGUGGAGCAGCUCUGAUGGAUGUGUGAGUCAGACGGCAAGACACUCUGGACUGGAGCAGCUCAACAGGGCCGUUUAGAGAACCACCUCCGGGUUUCAC